GUGAGGAAUUUUCCGCAAUGGGCGAAAGCCUGACGGAGCAAUGCCGCGUGAAUGAUGAAGGUCUUAGGAUUGUAAAAUUCUUUCACCGGGGACGAUAAUGACGGUACCCGGAGAAGAAGCUCCGGCUAACUUCGUGCCAGCAGCCGCGGUAAUACGAAGGGGGCUAGCGUUGCUCGGAAUUACUGGGCGUAAAGGGCGCGUAGGCGGACAGCUUAGUCAGAGGUGAAAGCCCAGGGCUCAACCUUGGAAUUGCCUUUGAUACUGGCUGUCUUGAGUUUGGGAGAGGUGAGUGGAACUCCGAGUGUAGAGGUGAAAUUCGUAGAUAUUCGGAAGAACACCAGUGGCGAAGGCGACUCACUGGCCCAAUACUGACGCUGAGGCGCGAAAGCGUGGGGAGCAAACAGGAUUAGAAACCCGUGUAGUCC
rnacentral:rRNA from 1 species